AGAACGAACGCUGGCGGCAUGCCUAAUACAUGCAAGUCGAACGAACACUUCGGUGUUAGUGGCGCACGGGUGCGUAACGCGUGGGAAUCUGCCCUUGGGUUCGGAAUAACAGUUGGAAACGACUGCUAAUACCGGAUGAUAUCGAAAGAUCAAAGAUUUAUCGCCCAGGGAUGAGCCCGCGUAGGAUUAGCUAGUUGGUGAGGUAAAGGCUCACCAAGGCGACGAUCCUUAGCUGGUCU
rnacentral:rRNA from 1 species